rnacentral:pre_miRNA from 1 species
AAGCCCAGAUGGGAGCUUCCUUAAGUCCAAAGGACGUCCAAAUUUUUUACAGGGAUAGCUCGAAUCCUUUGGACUGAAGGGAGCUCCCAUCUGGGUUU